UGUCUCUUUCGGUAUCUCUCUCUCUCUCUUUCUGUCGGUGUAUAUCACUGUCCGGUAACGCGAGACGUGCAGCGCGUCGCCAUGUUCGCUGGCGCAUGCGCUCGCAGAAACAGACCACGUGGGUCGCACGCACGCACGCACAGACGCAGGCGCAGCAGUGCUCUGUGCAAAACAAAUCUUUAUUUAACGCUUAUUAUACAAAAACUUUAUUUGAUGUUACUCAUUUGUGUUUAAAGAAUACACAAGACAUCAACACGACUAAACAUGUGGGAUUAAUUUUAACCAAGCUUAUAUUUCGAACGAAGUAAAUGGCGGAGACCGAAGUACCGCGAUACGCCCUGUCCCAAAUUUUCCCAAACUCUGGACUUGUGGACUUCCUCAGAGUCCACACUUUGAUGACAUCAUGUAGUGCAGACCUAAGGGACCCUUGACGCAAUAGGAAGAGAAGUUGCCCAUCAGUGUGAACUCCUCCCAUCCGUCGCAUGAUUGCUUUUCGCAAAGACUUCUGGGUUGGUAAAGUGUGUGGGGCCUGCAGAAGUACGGACUGCGCCGAAGACCGCAUCAUGGGCACACUUCGGAAUGUAAAAAUGACAGAUGGGACACCCUAAGCCAGGAGUGGGGAACCCUGGGUCCUGGAGGGCCACUGUCCUGCAGAGUUUAGUUCCAACCCUCAUCAAACACACCUGAAUUUAAUUUCCAAGUAAUCCUGAAGACUUUAAUUAGAUCUUCAGGUGUGUUUAAUAAGGGUUGGAACUAAACUUUGCAGGACAGUGGUUCCCCCUGCCCUAUGGAAUCGCAGGCUAAGCAUUCACACGCAAUUUAAAGCCACGAGAUCGAAAGUCUACAUGAAGUGCGCCAUUUGGGACAGGGACAUAAUCUUUAAUCAAAAACGCAAAUCUCUUCCUCGAAACAAUCUUUCCUUACUUCCGCUCAUAUGGUAUGGCAGGUGGGCGGGGUCCGGGAAAAGAUUGCAGCGAUUAGCAAAUAGCAACAUGAACCAACUUAACUUUAAUUAAUAAAUCAGUUCUAAGUGAAUGAA